rnacentral:rRNA from 1 species
GGAAUAUUGGACAAUGGGCGCAAGCCUGAUCCAGCAAUGCCGCGUGUGUGAAGAAGGCCUUAGGGUUGUAAAGCACUUUCAGUGGGGAAGAAAAGCAGGGUGAUAAUACCGCCCUGUCCUGACGUUACCCGCAGAAGAAGCACCGGCUAACCCCGUGCCAGCCGCCGCGGUAAUACGGAGGGUGCAAGCGUUAAUCGGAAUUACUGGGCGUAAAGGGCGCGUAGGCGGCUUACUAAGUCGGGUGUGAAAGCCCCGGGCUCAACCUGGGAAUUGCAUUCGAUACUGGUAGGCUAGAGUGUGGUAGAGGAAAGCGGAAUUCCCGGUGUAGCGGUGAAAUGCGUAGAUAUCGGGAGGAACAUCAGUGGCGAAGGCGGCUUUCUGGACCAACACUGACGCUGAGGCGCGAAAGCGUGGGGAGCAAAC